rnacentral:lncRNA from 1 species
GACCUACAAUCUCGAUCAUAGCAUGCAGCCAUAGUUCAUAUUGAAUAUUACAAUGUGCAUAGUGCAUAUUACAUCAAUGUAAUUUCUACAUUCAAUUAAAUGUCACCUAGUUUUACAACUAUUCAAAUCACACUACUAUACAAACAAUUAUUCAAAAAUUUUGAUUGUCAUAACAUCUCAAUCGUCAAAAGUAGCCAUCAUACGAAUUCCGUCUAACAAAGACCAUUUCGCUGCAUUCAAAUCUUUGUCUACUCCAUAUCCCACAUGACCUAAAGCAGGGUACAUCGUUAACGUCAACAUUAUCUACACACACACAAUUGAAAUUAAGAUAGAUGAGAUAACAAAUAAUAUAAAUAGUACAUAGUACAUUAAGGGAAAAUAGUGCAUAGUGCAUUUCAGAUAAUGUGAAAAUAGUGCAUAGUGCAUUUCAGAUAAAUAGUGCAUAGUGCAUUUCAGAUAAUGUGAAAAUAGUGCAUACUGUAUUUCAGAUAAAUAGUGCAUAUUACGGAAUACAUGAGAGUUAAGUCCAACGAUUAUUUUCUUACCAUUAGUUGACGAACUCCCUAAUCCCGACCUUUUCUUUGUUGCCUUCUUCUUGAAUAACGACCUACAAACAUUAAACAUUAUACAAUUGCAAAAAGAAAUCAUAACACCAAAUUAUUGUGGACAUUUGGUACACUAUGCAAUAUGUACUAUGCACUAUGAUAUAGCCAUAAAUAACAAUGAAAAUAAGGGAGGUAAAAAAUAAAUUAAAAUGUUUGUGUCUGUUACACAUUUUAAUCAAAACACAUUCGUAAAUCAGAAUUGUGCCUGAUAAAGAUUAGUGGCCUAACACAUUUGGUGGCCAAUAAAGAUUUGUGGUCGAUAAAAAAUGAAAAACAGUGAUUUUGAUAUAAAAAUUUCAAAACAAGUUUGAAAAAUUUUAAUCUUCGGAAAUAUGGGAAAAUAUAAAAAUCAACAACAAGGGAAAAUCAUGAAAUACUAAAAAAGCAGUGAAACAAAAAACGUAAACACAAAAAAAAAUACCGAAACAACUAGAGACUAGGUGAAAAGAUGACGAAAUGAGGGAUCAUGGAAAUGAAAUAAGAAACUAAACCUGAUCUUAGGGAAAAGGAAAAAAUUUAAAUGAGGGAUAAUAAAAAAUCAGUAUCCAUUUUUAAGAUUGAAAUGAUCGAAAACAGGGGAAAAAACCAAGAUCAACAUAGUGAAAAAACAGGAUAAACGUGAAAUAGCAAAACAACAAUGAAAAUAAAAAAUAUGUAAAACAAACCAAAAAUAACAAUACUGCUAGAGACUAGGUGAAAACAAGAGGAAAUGAUCGAGGGAUCAUGGAAAUAAAAUAAAAACCUAAACCCAACCAUAGGGAAAACGAAAUAAUUAAGUAAACCCCAUUCUAAGAUCAUGGAAAUGAGGGAUAAAAAGAUACAAGAAAACCCAUUCUAAAGAUCAAAUAGAUAAGGUCAAUGAAGGAUAAAAUCAAAUCAGAACCCAUUUGUUAGAAUUUAAUUUUCGAAAAGAGUGGGAAAAAACAGAAACAACAUAGGAACAACAUGAAAUACCAAAUCAGCAAUGGAAAAAAUAAAUUAUAAAACUAGUUUCCUCAUCUAGGUCGGGUCAUUUCUGAUUUCCUGGGGUUCAAAUAGGAAUAAUACGAUGCCAAGAUCAAGUGGGGAAGAAUAACUGACCAACUAAGGGUAAAAACAGAGGGGAAGACCGAUGAAAAUCCAACCACACAACACACCAAAACCAUCGGAAAAUCGAACAAGGAAAUAUUCAAUCAGGAUACAUACCGAAUAGUUGAUGAUGGCGACCUGGCAGGUGGCUUCCCGUUACGCUCGCCGCUUGGGUUCGACAUGGUAAACUUGGAGAUGAUGUGCGGUAACUGUUGGGAAAGAAAUCGUCGCUAGGAAGAAAUCGCCGUUGGAGGAUGUUCAAAAUCGAGAGAUGAAUGCGUGUAGAAAAUGAGAGUUUCAGAAUAAGAAUAAUAAAUUGGGAUUUGCACAAUCACCUCCUGCUUCCAUCCAUCGGUCUAUAGGAUGUUCUAUGUACUUCCUCUGUCGGUGUGUCAUAAUUAAACUACCAAUCAAAGCUUGCAUUUCAUACGAAGCAGCAUUCAAACUCAAGAAUUGGACGGUGGAGAUUAAGUUCGCAGAUAAUGCGUAUUUUGGAGUUCUCAGCAGAAGCGUUCUGUGAUUAUAUAAUCUAGACCUUUUCAAUGAUCUUAUGAAAAGAACUAGCUGCAAGAUUUGAUGUGACCAAAGGACCAAUGCUGUUUCUGAAUUUUGUUUGAGCCUCAAAUUGAAUGAAUCUAUAAUAACUUACCUUGAGAUAUAUUGAAUGUCAAUAUCGACCACUAUUGAUAUUCUCUAUAAUCAAACUUUUCCUAAAAAAACAUUAUUAUAAUUUAUAUUCUCUAUAUCGAUUUUGUUCCCAAAUUAAGAUGAGAUCCCAUCAAUAAUAGAUGUCGGACAGUAACUAAUUGUAACCACUGAACAAGUGAG